rnacentral:tRNA from 1 species
AGCUCAGUUGGUAGAGCUCCGCUCUUGCAAUCAGCGGUUCGAGUCCGCUUAUCUCCA